rnacentral:rRNA from 1 species
CACCUACGGGGGGCAGCAGUGGGGAAUAUUGCACAAUGGGGGAAACCCUGAUGCAGCGACGCCGCGUGAAGGACGAAGUAUUUCGGUACGUAAACUUCUAUCAGCAGGGAAGAAAAUGACGGUACCUGACCAAGAAGCCCCGGCUAACUACGUGCCAGCAGCCGCGGUAAUACGUAGGGGGCAGGCGUUACCCGGAUUUAUUGGGUGUAAAGGGAGGGUAGAGGGCGGUGCA